AUGUGAGCUCAGUUGGUUAGAGCACAACACUCAUAAUGUUGAGGGUCACAGGUUCGAAUCCCGUCAUAGCC
rnacentral:tRNA from 1 species